rnacentral:misc_RNA from 1 species
GAAAUGCGAUAAUUAAUGUGAAUUGCAGAAUUCAGUGAAUCAUCGAGUCUUUGAACGCACAUUGCGCCCCCUGGUAUUCCGGGGGGCAUGCCUGUCCGAGCGUCAUUGCUGCCCUCAAGCACGGCUUGUGUGUUGGGCUUCCGUCCCUGGCAACGGGGACGGGCCCACAAGGCAGUGGCGGCACCAUGUCUGGUCCUCGAGCGUAUGGGGCUUUGUCACCCGCUCCCGUAGGUCCAGCUGGCAGCUAGCCUCGCAACCAAUCUUUUUAACCAGGUUGACCUCGGAUCAGGUAGGGAUACCCGCUGAACUUAAGC